AGUGACCAUAGUGGAGGUGUCAUACCCGUUCCCAUCCCGAACACGGAAGUCAAGCCCUCUAACGCCGAUGAUACUGCAUCAGUGGGAAAGUAGGUAGUUGCUG
rnacentral:rRNA from 1 species